CAGUCGCCGCGGUAAUACGUAGGUGGCAAGCGUUGUCCGGAAUUAUUGGGCGUAAAGCGCGCGCAGGCGGAUCAGUUAGUCUGUCUUAAAAGUUCGGGGCUUAACCCCGUGAUGGGAUGGAAACUGCUGAUCUAGAGUAUCGGAGAGGAAAGUGGAAUUCCUAGUGUAGCGGUGAAAUGCGUAGAUAUUAGGAAGAACACCAGUGGCGAAGGCGACUUUCUGGACGAAAACUGACGCUGAGGCGCGAAAGCCAUGGGAGCGAACGGGAUUAGAUACCCGCGUAGUCCCUGUCUCUUAUACA
rnacentral:rRNA from 1 species